CAAGAAGCUGGGCGCUCGCGCCCGACCUUCUCACCACCGCGUACGAAAUUCAGUUGCCUCGGCCGCCCGUCGGCCGAAGGAAAGCCAAACCAACUUGUCUGAAUACCGUCACGAAACAUCGCGAAUGCGAAAGUA
rnacentral:misc_RNA from 1 species